GGGAGCGCUUGAAUGUCGGAAUUCUCCCGGGCUGUAACCCCGGUGUCUCGUGCUAAGCGGUUCGAUUCCGUACGCGCCCA
rnacentral:tRNA from 1 species